GGCGGGGUAGCUCAGUCUGGCAGAGCAAUCGGCUCAUACCCGGUGUGUCACUGGUUCAAAUCCAGUCCCCGCUACCA
rnacentral:tRNA from 1 species